ACACAUGCAAGUCGAGCGGUAACAGAUCCAGCUUGCUGGAUGCUGACGAGCGGCGGACGGGUGAGUAAUGCAUAGGAAUCUGCCCGAUAGUGGGGGAUAACCUGGGGAAACCCAGGCUAAUACCGCAUACGUCCUACGGGAGAAAGGGGGCUCCGGCUCCCGCUAUGGGAUGAGCCUAUGUCGGAUUAGCUAGUUGGUGAGGUAACGGCUCACCAAGGCCACGAUCCGUAGCUGGUCUGAGAGGAUGAUCAGCCACAUCGGGACUGAGACACGGCCCGAACUCCUACGGGAGGCAGCAGUGGGGAAUAUUGGACAAUGGGGGAAACCCUGAUCCAGCCAUGCCGCGUGUGUGAAGAAGGCCCUCGGGUUGUAAAGCACUUUCAGCGAGGAAGAACGCCUAGCGGUUAAUACCCGCUAGGAAAGACAUCACUCGCAGAAGAAGCACCGGCUAACUCCGUGCCAGCAGCCGCGGUAAUACGGAGGGUGCAAGCGUUAAUCGGAAUUACUGGGCGUAAAGCGCGCGUAGGUGGCUUGAUAAGCCGGUUGUGAAAGCCCCGGGCUCAACCUGGGAACGGCAUCCGGAACUGUCAAGCUAGAGUGCAGGAGAGGAAGGUAGAAUUCCCGGUGUAGCGGUGAAAUGCGUAGAGAUCGGGAGGAAUACCAGUGGCGAAGGCGGCCUUCUGGACUGACACUGACACUGAGGUGCGAAAGCGUGGGUAGCAAACAGGAUUAGAUACCCUGGUAGUCCACGCCGUAAACGAUGUCGACCAGCCGUUGGGUGCCUAGCGCACUUUGUGGCGAAGUUAACGCGAUAAGUCGACCGCCUGGGGAGUACGGCCGCAAGGUUAAAACUCA
rnacentral:rRNA from 1 species